UAGGGAAUAUUGGUAAUCUGGGAAACCGGGAACCAGCAACGCCGCGUGCGCGAUGAAGGCCAUCGGGUUGUAAAGCGCUUUUUAAAGGGGUGAGGAAGGACAGUACCUUUAGAAUAAGCCUCGGCUAACUACGUGCCAGCAGCCGCGGUAAAGCGUAGGAGGCGAGCGUUAUCCGGAUUUACUGGGCGUAAAGCGUGUGCAGGCGGUUUGAUAAGUUGGAUGUGAAAGCUCCUGGCUUAACCGGGAGAGGUCGUUCAAAACUAUCAGACUAGAGAGUGGUAGAGGGAGAUGGAAUUCCGCGUGUAGUGGUGAAAUGCGUAGAUAUGCGGAGGAACACCAGUGGCGAAAGCGGUCUCCUGGCCCAUUUCUGACGCUCAGACACGAAAGCUAAGGUAGCAAACGG
rnacentral:rRNA from 1 species